AUACGGAGGAUGCGAGCGUUAUCCGGAAUUAUUGGGCGUAAAGGGAGCGUAGGCGGAUUGUUAAGUGAGAUGUGAAAUACCCGGGCUUAACCUGGGGGCUGCAUCUCAUACUGGCAACCUUGAGUGUGGGAGAGGAAAGUGGAAUUCCUAGUGUAGCGGUGAAAUGCGUAGAUAUUAGGAGGAACACCAGUGGCGAAGGCGACUUUCUGGACCAUAACUGACGCUGAGGCUCGAAAGCGUGGGGAGCAAACAGGAUUAGAUACCCUGGUAGUCCACGCAGUAAACGAUGAUAACUAACCGUCGGCGAUAGAAUGUCGGUGGCCAAGCGAAAGCGAUAAGUUAUCCACCUGGGGAGUACGUUCGCAAGAAUGAAACUCAAAGGAAUUGACGGGG
rnacentral:rRNA from 1 species